CUCUCUUCUCUACCUUCUCUCUAAAACAAAACCAUUGUCGACCUCCGUCGCCGCUUCACCUCACCGACCUCCGUCGCUGCUCCGCCUCCAUCCAUUCAUCCCCAGAUUUUUGUGGUGUAGUCAAAUUUAGUGUGUACUAGUGACUUCAAAAUGAGCAAGUCACCAUUGCCUCCACCUCCACCUCCACUUCUACCUUCUCCUCCAUCUCCUCUAGUAGAAGAAGAUAUUGAUGCAGAUUUGAUUGGUCUAGUUCAUGGAGAUACGGACAUGCUUAGUAGAGUGUUCAUCAAGCCUAAUAGAUCUUCGUGGUAUCCCGCAUCAAAAGAAGUUAAUAAGUCUGUAAGGGGGAGCGUUAUGAGACUUUUUACAUAUCCUUGGCACGAGUGGUG